GACGAACGCUGGCGGCGUGCCUAAUACAUGCAAGUAGAACGCUGAAGAGAGGAGCUUGCUCUUCUUGGAUGAGUUGCGAACGGGUGAGUAACGCGUAGGUAACCUGCCUGGUAGCGGGGGAUAACUAUUGGAAACGAUAGCUAAUACCGCAUGAUAUUAAUUGUCGCAUGAUAAUUAAUUGAAAGAUGCAGUUGCAUCACUACCAGAUGGACCUGCGUUGUAUUAGCUAGUUGGUGAGGUAACGGCUCACCAAGGCGACGAUACAUAGCCGACCUGAGAGGGUGAUCGGCCACACUGGGACUGAGACACGGCCCAGACUCCUACGGGAGGCAGCAGUAGGGAAUCUUCGGCAAUGGGGGGAACCCUGACCGAGCAACGCCGCGUGAGUGAAGAGGGUUUUCGGAUCGUAAAGCUCUGUUGUAAGAGAAGAACGGGU
rnacentral:rRNA from 1 species